AAUCAACGCUGGCGGCGUGCCUCAGACAUGCAAGUCGAACGCGAAACCUUCCUUCGGGAGGGGAGUAGAGUGGCGCACGGGUGAGUAACACGUAGGUAAUUUGCCUUUGGGUGGGGAAUAACAGCCGGAAACGGCUGCUAAUACCGCAUAAUGCAGCGGCUCGACAUCGAGACAGUUGUUAAAGCGGGGGAGUUCGCAAGAACCUCGCGCCUGAAGAGAAGCCUGCGGCAGAUUAGCUAGUUGGUAGGGUAAUGGCCUACCAAGGCGACGAUCUGUAACCGGCCUGAGAGGGCGGUCGGUCACACUGACACUGACAUACGGGUCAGACUCCUACGGGAGGCAGCAGUCGGGAAUUUUGGGCAAUGGGCGAAAGCCUCGACCCAGCAACGCCGCGUGAAGGAUGAAAUUUUUCGGUAAUGUAACUUCGCAAGAACGGGAAGAAUAAGUAGAAGAUAAUACCUUCUAUGA
rnacentral:rRNA from 1 species